CUACGGGAGGCAGCAGUGGGGAAUCUUCCGCAAUGGGCGAAAGCCUGACGGAGCAACGCCGCGUGGGUGAAGAAGGCCUUCGGGUUGUAAAGCCCUGUCUUCAGGGACGAAAAAAAUGACGGUACCUGAGGAGGAAGCCACGGCUAACUACGUGCCAGCAGCCGCGGUAAUACGUAGGUGGCAAGCGUUGUCCGGAAUCACUGGGCGUAAAGGGCGCGUAGGCGGGUUUUUAAGUCAGAUGUGAAAACUUUGGGCUCAACCCAGAGCAUGCAUCUGAUACUGGGAAUCUUGAGUGCAGGAGAGGACAGUGGAAUUCCUAGUGUAGCGGUGAAAUGCGUAGAUAUUAGGAGGAACACCAGUGGCGAAGGCGGCUGUCUGGACUGUAACUGACGCUGAGGCGCGAAAGCGUGGGGAGCAAACAGGAUUAGAUACCCUGGUAGC
rnacentral:rRNA from 1 species